rnacentral:rRNA from 1 species
UACGAAGGGGGCUAGCGUUGCUCGGAAUCACUGGGCGUAAAGGGUGCGUAGGCUGGUUUUUAAGUCAGGGGUGAAAUCCUGGAGCUCAACUCCAGAACUGCCUUUGAUACUGAAGAUCUUGAGUCCGGGAGAGGUGAGUGGAACUGCGAGUGUAGAGGUGAAAUUCGUAGAUAUUCGCAAGAACACCAGUGGCGAAGGCGGCUCACUGGCCCGGUACUGACGCUGAGGCACGAAAGCGUGGGGAGCAAACAGG